rnacentral:lncRNA from 1 species
UUUAAUAUAAAAUCAUCUUCCCUCAACCACAUGUAGUUCUUGUGGUUAAUUUUUGCGGGGAAACAUCUUAUACAUCUAUUGCAGUUGAUGUUAUUGCCUAUAUCUGCAAGUCCACAAUUUUACUAUUUAUUCAUCAGUGCCAUUGCCAAUGAUUACAUUAAGGAGAAAACGGACAUAUUUGUGUAUAAUGCAAAAAGUAGGGAUCAUUUUAUGUGAAGAAUUCCCUCUUUGCGCAUAUCCUCUUCCUAGUUAUUAUUUGUUCAUAAAACUAGACUCAAUGGCUUUCAGUUAUUUUAUGGCAGCACUAAAUUUUCCAACUUCUCAGAUACUUCCUGUCACUGAUGUGACUUUUACUGUUAUUUAAUCAACAUGCAACUUCCUCCUUCAUUUUCCUUUCUCUUUUUCAUGUCCCUAAAAAUAUUAACAGAAUUUUACACUUAUGUAUAGGUGCUCUUGUAUGACGAACCAACAGCUGGACUUGAUCCUAUCGCAUCUACCGUUGUUGAGGAUCUGAUUCGCUCUGUGCACAUAAAAGGGCGAGAUGCUCUUGGAAAACCUGGGAAUAUAACAUCUUAUGUGGUAGUUACUCACCAACAUAGUACCAUUAAAAGAGCCAUUGAUAGGUAAGAGAUUCACAUGAUGGUUGAACAUCUUCUUGGUAGUUGGUACACCUGAACCCUCUAAAUUUGCCCACAAUUUAUGUACCUUAAUUUGAAAAUAUAUUGCAUAAGUACAGGUUGUUGUUUUUACACAAGGGAAAGCUUGUUUGGGAAGGAAUGACUCAUGAAUUUACUGUUUCAACAAAUCCAAUUGUUCAGCAGGUUUAAAGGGCGAGAUGCUCUUGGAAAACCUGGGAAUAUAACAUCUUAUGUGGUAGUUACUCACCAACAUAGUACCAUUAAAAGAGCCAUUGAUAGGUAAGAGAUUCACAUGAUGGUUGAACAUCUUCUUGGUAGUUGGUACACCUGAACCCUCUAAAUUUGCCCACAAUUUAUGUACCUUAAUUUGAAAAUAUAUUGCAUAAGUACAGGUUGUUGUUUUUACACAAGGGAAAGCUUGUUUGGGAAGGAAUGACUCAUGAAUUUACUGU